GGAAGUAAAAGUCGUACAAGGUUUCCGUAGGUGAACCUGCGGAAGGAUCAUUAUUGGAUUUUGAAACUUCAGGCUGCUGCUGGCUCUCCUCGGAGGGCAUGUGCACGCUUGUUGUCCAUUAUUUCUCCCACUGUGCACAAAUUGUAGACCUUUCAGUAGGCCUAUGUUGUUUUUCACAAUCUCUGAAUGUAAUAGAAUGGUUUUGAAUCUUGGGAAAUACAAUACAACUUUCAGCAACGGAUCUCUUGGCUCUC
rnacentral:misc_RNA from 1 species